GACGAACGCUGGCGGCGUGCCUAACACAUGCAAGUCGAACGGAGAAAUUAUUUCGGUAAUUUCUUAGUGGCGGACGGGUGAGUAACGCGUGGGUAACCUGCCAUAUACAGGGGGGAUAACACUUAGAAAUAGGUGCUAAUACCGCAUAAGCGCACGGUGUCGCAUGACACAGUGUGAAAAACUCCGGUGGUAUAUGAUGGACCCGCGUCUGAUUAGCUAGUUGGUGAGGUAACGGCUCACCAAGGCGACGAUCAGUAGCCGGCCUGAGAGGGUGAACGGCCACAUUGGGACUGAGACACGGCCCAAACUCCUACGGGAGGCAGCAGUGGGGAAUAUUGGACAAUGGGGGAAACCCUGAUCCAGCGACGCCGCGUGAGUGAAGAAGUAUUUCGGUAUGUAAAGCUCUAUCAGCAGGGAAGAAAAACAUGACGGUACCUGACUAAGAAGCCCCGGCUAACUACGUG
rnacentral:rRNA from 1 species